AGUGAACGCUGGCGGUAGGCCUAACACAUGCAAGUCGAACGGCAGCACAGUAAGAGCUUGCUCUUACGGGUGGCGAGUGGCGGACGGGUGAGGAAUACAUCGGAAUCUACUUUUUCGUGGGGGAUAACAUAGGGAAACUUACGCUAAUACCGCAUACGACCUACGGGUGAAAGCAGGGGAUCUUCGGACCUUGCGCGAUUGAAUGAGCCGAUGUCGGAUUAGCUAGUUGGCGGGGUAAAGGCCCACCAAGGCGACGAUCCGUAGCUGGUCUGAGAGGAUGAUCAGCCACACUGGAACUGAGACACGGUCCAGACUCCUACGGGAGGCAGCAGUGGGGAAUAUUGGACAAUGGGCGCAAGCCUGAUCCAGCCAUACCGCGUGGGUGAAGAAGGCCUUCGGGUUGUAAAGCCCUUUUGUUAGGAAAGAAAAGCAGCAGGUUAAUACCCCGCUGUUCUGACGGUACCCAAAGAAUAAGCACCGGCUAACUUCGUG
rnacentral:rRNA from 1 species